CCUACGGGUGGCAGCAGUGAGGAAUAUUGGUCAAUGGUCGGGAGACUGAACCAGCCAAGCCGCGUGAGGGAGGAAGGUACAGAGUAUCGUAAACCUCUUUUGUCAGGGAACAAAGGCGGGGACGUGUCCCCGGAUGAGUGUACCUGAAGAAAAAGCAUCGGCUAACUCCGUGCCAGCAGCCGCGGUAAUACGGAGGAUGCGAGCGUUAUACGGAUUUAUUGGGUUUAAAGGGUGCGCAGGCGGUCUGUUAAGUCAGCGGUAAAAGCCCGGGGCUGAACCCCGGCCCGCCGUUGAAACUGGCAGUCUCGAGUUGGAGAGAAGUAUGCGGAAUGCGCGGUGUAGCGGUGAAAUGCAUAGAUAGCGCGCAGAACUCCGAUUGCGAAGGCAGCAUGCCGGCUCCACACUGACGCUGAGGCACGAAAGCGUGGGUAUCGAACAGGAUUAGAUACCCCAGUAGUC
rnacentral:rRNA from 1 species